GCCGGGCAUGGUGGCUCAUGCCUGUAAUCCUAACACUUUGGGAGGCUGAGGUGGGUGGAUCACCUGAGGUCAGGAGUUCUACACCAGCCUGGCCAACAUGGUGAAACCCCAUCUCUC
rnacentral:SRP_RNA from 2 species